CUGGCUCAGGAUGAACGCUGGCGGCGUGCCUAACACAUUCAAGUCGAACGAACUGUAGAAAUACAGUGAGUGGCGGACGGGUGAGUAACGCGUAAGCAAUCCGCCUUUGUGUGUGGAAUAACAACCGGAAACAGUUGCUAAUACCGCAUAACGCAUAGGAGUCGCAUGGCUCUUAUGCCAAAGAUUUAUCGCACGAAGAUGAGCUUGCGUCCGAUUAGAUAGUUGGCGGGGUAACGGCCCACCAAGUCUACGAUCGGUAGCCGGACUGAGAGGUUGAACGGCCACAUUGGAACUGAGAUACGGUCCAGACUCCUACGGGAGGCAGCAGUGGGGAAUAUUGGGCAAUGGACGAAAGUCUGGAACCCCCAGCGACGCCGCGUGAGGGAAGAAGGUCUUCGGAUUGUAAACCUUAGUCAACAGGGACGAAGCAAGUGACGGUACCUGUGGAGGAAGCCACGGCUAACUACGUGCCAGCCGCUGC
rnacentral:rRNA from 1 species